UGAGUACGAGACGCUAAGGCGUCGAAGUAGUGUAUGUCAUACUUCCAAGAAAAGCUUGCACUGUCAUUCAUAAAAAAUGCCUGUACCAUAACCGACACAGGUGGGUAGGUAGAGUAUACUAAGGGGCGCGAGAUAACUCUCUCUAAGGAACUCGGCAAAAUAACUCCGUAACUUCGGGAGAAGGAGUGCCUUAUUUAUAUAAGGUUGCAAUAACAAGAUCCGAGCAACUGUUUACCAAAAACACAGGUCUCCGCUAAGUCGUAAGACGAUGUAUGGGGGCUGACGCCUGCCCAGUGCCAGAAGGUUAAAGAAGUUGGUUAGCAAUAGCGAAGCUGAUAACUGAAGCCCUGGUGAACGGCGGCCGUAACAAUAACGGUCCUAAGGUAGCGAAAUUCCUUGUCGGGUAAGUUCCGACCCGCACGAAAGGCGUAAUGAUUUGGAUACUGUCUCGGAGAGGGACUCGGUGAAAUAGACUUGUCUGUGAAGAUGCGGACUACCUGCACCUGGACAGAAAGACCCUAUGAAGCUUUACUGUAACUUGAAAUUGAAAUUGGACUUUAUUCGCGCAGUAUAGGUGGGAGGCGUUGAAAAUAAUCUUGCGGGACUAUUGGAGCCAUCAGUGAGAUACCACUCUUAUAAUGUUAGAUUUCUAACUUUGAAUCAUUAUCUGGUCAAAGAACAGUUUCAGGCGGGCAGUUUGACUGGGGCGGUCGCCUCCCAAACGGUAACGGAGGCGUACAAAGGUUUCCUCUGAACGGGUAGAAAUCGUAUCUAGAGUAUAAAGGCAAAAGGAAGCUUGACUGUGAGACCUACAAGUCGAGCAGGGACGAAAGUCGGUCUUAGUGAUCUGACGGUACUGAGUGGAAAGGCCGUCACUCAACGGAUAAAAGUUACUCUAGGAUAACAGGCUGAUCUCCCCCAAGAGUUCACAUCGACGGGGAGGUUUGGCACCUCGAUGUCGGCUCAUCGCAUCCUGGGGCGGUAGUACGUCCCAAGGGUUGGGCUGUUCGCCCAUGAAAGCGGUACGCGAGCUGGGUUCAGAACGUCGUGAGACAGUUCGGUCCAUAUCCGGUGUAGGCGUUAGAAUAUUGAGAGGAGCCUUCUUUAGUACGAGAGGACCGAGAAGGACAUACCUCUGGUGUACCAGUUAUCGUGCCAACGGUAAACGCUGGGUAGCUAUGUAUGGAGUGGAUAACCGCUGAAAGCAUCUAAGUGGGAAGCCCACCUCAAGAUGAGUAU
rnacentral:rRNA from 1 species